rnacentral:rRNA from 1 species
UGUGGUGGCGAUAGCGAGAAGGAUACACCUGUAACCAUGCCGAACACAGAAGUUAAGCUUCUUAGCGCCGAUUGUAGUGAGGUGUUGCCCUCU